AACGGAGGGGGCAAGCGUUGUUCGGAAUUACUGGGCGUAAAGCGCGUGCAGGCGGUCUUUUAAGUUCCGUGUGAAAUCCCCCGGCUUAACCGGGGAACUGCGCGGAAAACUGGGAGACUUGAAUACGGGAGAAGAGGGCGGAAUUCCCAGUGUAGAGGUGAAAUUCGUAGAUAUUGGGAGGAACACCGGCGGCGAAAGCGGCUCUCUAGACCGAUAUUGACGCUCAUACGCGAGAGCGUGGGUAGCAAACAGG
rnacentral:rRNA from 1 species